CAGUAGCCGCGGGAAUACAGAGGGUGCGAGCGUUAAUCGGAUUUACUGGGCGUAAAGCGUGCGUAGGCGGCUUUUAAGUCGGAUGUGAAAUCCCUGAGCUUAACUUAGGAAUUGCAUUCGAUACUGGGAAGCUAGAGUAUGGGAGAGGAUGGUAGAAUUCCAGGUGUAGCGGUGAAAUGCGUAGAGAUCUGGAGGAAUACCGAUGGCGAAGGCAGCCAUCUGGCCUAAUACUGACGCUGAGGUACGAAAGCAUGGGGAGCAAACAGGAUUAGAUACCCCCGUAGUCCCUGUCUCUUAUACA
rnacentral:rRNA from 1 species